AAGGUUAAAAUUAUUAAUUUAUAUUAAAAAAAAUAUUUUUUUAUAGUAGUAUAGUUAUAGAAUAUAGAGUAAUUAAUUAUAGUUAAUUAGUAUAGUGAUAGAAUUUUGAAAUAUAGGAAGUUAAGGUUUAUUAAAAGAAGAUUUAAAUUAUUGUACCUUGUGUAUCAGGGUUUACUAAAAAUAUUAUUAAGGAUUUAGAUAUCUCGAAUUAUAAAGAGUUAAUAGUAUAUAAAUUUAAUUGUAAAAUAAAUUUUUAUAAUAUAAUAUUAGAAAUGAAACGUUAGUCGUUUUUUAAGAUAUCUAGUUUUUUAAGAAAUGAAUUUAAUUUAGGAAUUUAAAUAAUUAUUUUCACAUAGUUGAUUGUAAUUUUUAAAUAUCUAAUAUUUUAAGGGAUAAGCUUUAAAGUAUAUUUUUAUAAUAGUUUUUUUUUAUGUUAAGAUUUGUAGGAUUGAAAAUUUUUAUCUAUAGUUUGUUAUAAUUAGUCUUUACAUAUUUAAGAUUUAUAUUGGAUUUAAGUUAUUUAUUAAAAUUAGUUAUGUAAUUUUAUAUUUUGUGCAAUAAUGGUAAAAUUAGUAUAAUAUAAUGUAUUAUUAAUUUGAGUAAUAAAGGUUAAGUUAAGGAACUCGGCAAAUUAGUUUUUCGCCUGUUUAUUAAAAACAUGUCUUUUUGAUUAUAAUUUAAAGUCUAACCUGCCCAAUGAGGAGUUAAAUGGCCGCGGUAAUUUGACCGUGCAAAGGUAGCAUAAUCAUUAGUUUUUUAAUUGAAAGCUGGAAUGAAUGGUUGGACGAGAAAAUGACUGUCUCAAUUUAAUUUUAUUAGAAUUUUAUUUUUAAGUAAAAAAGCUUAAAUGGUUUUAAAAGACGAGAAGACCCUAUAGAGUUUUAUAUAUUUUAUUAUAUAAAGGUAUUGGUAUAGAAAUAUUUAUAUAGUAUUAUGUAUUUUGUUGGGGUGAUAGAAAAAUUAAAUAAACUUUUUUUAUAUUAUUACAUUAAUUUAUGGUUAAAUGAUCCGUUAUUAACGAUUAUAAGAUUAAAUUACCUUAGGGAUAACAGCGUAAUUUUUUUUGAGAGUUCUUAUCGAAAAAAGAGUUUGCGACCUCGAUGUUGGAUUAAAAUUAAUUUCUGGUGUAGGGGCUAGAAUAUUAGGUCUGUUCGACCUUUAAAAUUUUACAUGAUCUGAGUUUAAACCGGUGUGAGCCAGGUUGGUUUCUAUCUUUAAAAAGAUAAAAUAUUUUAGUACGAAAGGACCAGAUAUUUAUAAUAAUUAUUAGUUAUUGAUUAUUAGUAAU
rnacentral:rRNA from 1 species